rnacentral:lncRNA from 1 species
GUGAUCGAGCGUUAUUACUCCCGCAUGACCUUGGACUUCCAUACAAACAAGAAAAUACUGGAAGAGGUUGCCAUUAUCCCCUCCAAGCGCCUGCGCAACAAGAUCGCCGGCUUCUCCACCCAUCUCAUGAAGCGCAUCCAGAGGGGCCCAGUUCGCGGCAUCUCCCUCAAACUCCAGGAGGAGGAGAGAGAGAGGCGCAUGGACUUUGUGCCAGAUGAGUCGGCCAUUAAAACCGAUGUUAUUGAGGUCGACAAGGAGACUAUGGACAUGCUUGCCGCUCUUGGGAUGCCUGAUCUGCCUGGUGUGGUGAAGCAGUCUGAGCCUGCCCUGUCUGCCCCCUAUGCCAAGCCCGUUGGUGCAGGUGGAUUUGGUGGUGGUCGCAGGUACUAGGGAUUCGAAUUGUAGUCAUAUUGAGGUAUUGCCCUCCUCUUUCUCUGUUUUUUCUCACAUUCUAUAUCUAUACUUCCUUGUCAUUCUUCUCUUCGCUCUGUUCCUCCCUUUCUUACUAUUCCUCUUUUCAGCCCCUCUCUUCCUUAGCCUGUCCCUCUUUUUCUAUCUCUUCCUGUUCCUUGCUUUUACACUCUUUC